GGUAGUAGGGUCAUAUAAAUUAUUUCUAGCCAUUGGAAUAGGUAGAAGAGAUGUAAACCAUUUCCAAAUGUAACCCGUAGAACCUCCCAAGAGUUCCUCCAGACUCCCUCUUUUUCCUCUCCAUAGCAACCUUGAAGACUUAAUGUUGAAGAUGGCAGCCAUACAAGAUGGAAGAAAUGAGCAUCUCCAAAUGAAUAGUUGGCAAAAAGCCUCCUCACUACCACACCCCAGCACUGAUUGGUUUGGAUGUAAUACAGGAGGCGUUACCAUUUAGGUGAACACUGAAGGGAGCAUGAAGCCUUGAUGAUUGCAAGCUCAGAAUGAAAUGGAAAUGACUUCAUUAUGAGGCAGUUCCAGUCCUGAGCUGACGGGUUUUAACCACGAGCUAAUUCUUGUGCUAGUCAGACCCCUGUGAGAGGACUCUAGGCCAGCUUGCUAGAACUGAGCAGGAGAAUUUGGAGACAGUCCAGAGGAGAGCCACAAAGCCCAAUCAUGAGCAAGAGUAAUUGCAGUUCUGUUAUAGAGAGGCCAUCUAUAUCAGGCUUCUACUGAGUAUCACGUGGAAUGUUACAACACAAAGCAUUGGGAACAGCUGUUCGGGGCCUUGAUGAGAGACAGGACAGCAGAAAUGAGAACAGGUGGGAGAAUUUAGGUUAGAUGAGAGGAAAGGCAGGACGGUCAGAGAAGGGUUCCAGCUUAUCCCAGGCUGAGGAGGGGUGAGGCCGAGGCCCCGCCAGCAGCCCCAGAGCCUCCACUGGCCUGUAUUUCCAGAGGAGCCGUCAGACUAUGCUAAAUUUGCGGCAAGCUAUGUCACUUGAAGUUUGCUGCAGGAAGCUACUUAAUACGUUCUAAAUAUAUGUUAAAUAGUUCUCAAAAUGUGGCAAGAAGGAAAGUUAAAAAAAAAUCGAGGUUAUAAAAUCUGUGUGGAAGUUGCAAGAGUGCAAUCAUCUGGGAAAACCUAGCAAAUUCAUUUCCUGGGACAAGGAAGCCGGAGUUCAAACUGCAGUAACACAGGCAACUCCACGAUGGCACGGGUGAUUAAGGUAAUGGGAGCCGCAGGGAUGAAUAAAAAUCAGAAUGACUAAUACUUUGAAAAUUACUCAAAUGCGACACAGAGGAGUCGAUGACGUACGUCGCCACCCUAAUAAGUCUGCAAACCAAGGCCUUCACAAACUGCACACGAACCUGGUUUGGGUCCCAUCAUGCUUCUGGCACAAGCUUAGAAGGGCCCCAUUGGUUCACAUGUUGCUUGGACCAUGGACAGAGAGGCCAAACUGUCACAGAGACAGCAUAAUUUUUUAAAACCACCAUUGUCAUUUACUGCACUAGUUUCCCUAACAAAGUUGUGAAAAUGAAAAGUAUUGACAUAUAAAUGUAAUGUAUUCUAAUUGUAAUAAAAUGGUAUUUCCAAAAGAUUUUGGUGGGGGGGGUUGUAAUUUUUUCUAAAUGCAUUCUAAUUUCUUACAGCUUCUAUCUUUACUAGAUGUUACAGGUUGAGUAAUUGCAUAGUACCUGCGGAAAUGUGAAAAAACAAUUUUUGUGGUUGUCUUUUGAAAUGUAUACAAUAUGUCCUCAAAAGUUGGGUCUCUAUCCUAGAAACAAAAUAUCAUGUAACUCAUAUAGAAUUAUGCAGUUAAAGAGUUAGAAGUUUGGUCUAGCUUUUAUUUCUGUAAAAUUAAAGAGCAGUGCAUAAAGAUAAAAGCAAAAAGAACAUAUCUUUUUUGUUAUGUGGCCUAAAAUACCUCAUUUGACCGAAAGUGCAAUUUUGUGGUCAUUAUUUGGUUGGUAUACAAGAGGUGUUGUUCUUUCUUUUGUUGUUUUUUUCUUUCGAAACAAGACCGUAGUGGCUUCUCUUCCGUGGUCAUCUGAUUUGAGGUUUAAAUUGCCCCAGAAAACUGAAGAAUAUUCUGAUUACUGGUUAGGUUUUAUAUUUCCUGUGAGAACAUUCUUUACACAAGAAAACUGUAGCACCAACUUAUUCAUAAGAGAAAUGAUGUUUUGUUCACAUGUAUUUUGUUUGCUAAAUGACGUAUUAGACUCACAACAUGCUUUUCUCAAAUGAAGAUUUUUAAACUCA